UACAGAGGUCUCAAGCGUUGUUCGGAUUCAUUGGGCGUAAAGGGUGCGUAGGUGGCGCUGUAAGUCGGGUGUGAAAUCCUGAGGCUUAACCUCGGAACUGCAUUCGAUACUGCGGCGCUUGAGGACUGGAGAGGAGACUGGAAUUCAUGGUGUAGCAGUGAAAUGCGCAGAUAUCAGGAGGAACACCGGUGGCGAAGGCGGGUCUCUGGGCCGAUACUGACGCUGAGGAGCGAAAGCGUGGGGAGCGAACAGG
rnacentral:rRNA from 1 species